AUUAUGGCUCAGGAUGAACGCUGGCGGUAUGCUUAACACAUGCAAGUCGAACGGUCUCUUCGGAGAUAGUGGCGGACGGGUGAGUAACGCGUAAGAAUCUACCUUCAGGUUGGGGACAACCACUGGAAACGGUGGCUAAUACCGAAUGUGCCGAGAGGUGAAAGGCUUGCUGCCUGAAGAAGAGCUUGCGUCUGAUUAGCUAGUUGGUAGUGUAAUGGACUACCAAGGCGACGAUCAGUAGCUGGUCUGAGAGGAUGAUCAGCCACACUGGGACUGAGACACGGCCCAGACUCCUACGGGAGGCAGCAGUGGGGAAUUUUCCGCAAUGGGCGAAAGCCUGACGGAGCAAUACCGCGUGAGGGAGGAAGGCUCUUGGGUUGUAAACCUCUUUUCUCAGGGAAGAAAAAAAUGACGGUACCUGAGGAAUAAGCAUCGGCUAACUCCGUGCCAGCAGCCGCGGUAAUACGGAGGAUGCAAGCGUUAUCCGGAAUGAUUGGGCGUAAAGGGUCCGCAGGUGGCAUUGUAAGUCUGCUGUUAAAGAGUCUAGCUCAACUAGAUAAAAGCAGUGGAAACUACAAAGCUAGAGUAUGGUCGGGGCAGGAGGAAUUCCUGGUGUAGCGGUGAAAUGCGUAGAUAUCAGGAAGAACACCGGUGGCGAAGGCGUUCUGCUAGGCCAAAACUGACACUGAGGGACGAAAGCUAGGGGAGCGAAUGGGAUUAGAUACCCCAGUAGUCCUAGCCGUAAACGAUGGAUACUAGGCGUAGCUCGUAUCGACCCGAGCUGUGCCGUAGCUAACGCGUUAAGUAUCCCGCCUGGGGAGUACGCAGGCAACUGUGAAACUCA
rnacentral:rRNA from 1 species